rnacentral:rRNA from 1 species
GCAUAUCAAUAAGCGGAGGAAAAGAAACCAACAGGGAUUGCCCUAGUAACGGCGAGUGAAGCGGCAACAGCUCAAAUUUGAAAUCUGGCUCUUUUAGAGUCCGAGUUGUAAUUUGCAGAGGGCGCUUUGGCGUUGGCAGCGGUCCAAGUUCCUUGGAACAGGAUGUCACAGAGGGUGAGAACCCCGUACGUGGUCGCUGGCCUUCGCCGUGUAAAGCCCCUUCGACGAGUCGAGUUGUUUGGGAAUGCAGCUCUAAAUGGGAGGUAAAUUUCUUCUAAAGCUAAAUACUGGCCAGAGACCGAUAGCGCACAAGUAGAGUGAUCGAAAGAUGAAAAGCACUUUGGAAAGAGAGUCAAAUAGCACGUGAAAUUGUUGAAAGGGAAGCGCUUGCAGCCAGACUUGCCUGUAGUUGCUCAUCCGGGCUUUUGCCCGGUGCACUCUUCUGCGGGCAGGCCAGCAUCAGUUUGGGCGGUUGGAUAAAGGUCUCUGUCAUGUACCUCUCUUCGGGGAGGCCUUAUAGGGGAGACGACAUGCAACCAGCCUGGACUGAGGUCCGCGCAUUUGCUAGGAUGCUGGCGUAAUGGCUGUAAGCGGCCCGUCUUGAAACACGGACCAAGGAGUCUAACAUCUAUGCGAGUGUUUGGGUGUCAAGCCCGAACGCGUAAUGAAAGUGAACGGAGGUGGGAACCCUUUUAGGGCGCACCAUCGACCGAUCCUGAUGUCUUCGGAAGGAUUUGAGUAAGAGCAUGGCUGUUGGGACCCGAAAGAUGGUGAACUAUGCUUGAAUAGGGUGAAGCCAGAGGAAACUCUGGUGGAGGCUCGCAGCGGUUCUGACGUGCAAAUCGAUCGUCAAAUUUGGGCAUAGGGGCGAAAGACUAAUCGAACUAUCUAGU